GGGCAUGUGGCGGAAUUGGUAUACGCGUACGUUUCAGGUACGUAUGCCGCAAGGCUUGGAGGUUCGAGUCCUCUCAUGCCCACCA
rnacentral:tRNA from 1 species